rnacentral:rRNA from 1 species
UACACGACCGUACCGCAAACCGACACUGGUGCGCGAGAUGAGUAUUCUAAGGCGCUUGAGAGAACUCAGGAGAAGGAACUCGGCAAAUUGACACCGUAACUUCGGAAGAAGGUGUGCCUUUAGUAGGUGAACCAUUUACUUGGGGAGCCCAAUGAGGCUGCAAAAAAUCGGUGGCUGCAACUGUUUAUUAAAAACACAGCACUCUGCUAAGACGAAAGUCGACGUAUAGGGUGUGACGCCUGCCCGGUGCUGGAAGAUUAAAUGAUGGGGUGCAAGCUCUUGAUUGAAGUCCCAGUAAACGGCGGCCGUAACUAUAACGGUCCUAAGGUAGCGAAAUUCCUUGUCGGGUAAGUUCCGACCUGCACGAAUGGCGUAAUGAUGGCCACACUGUCUCCUCCUGAGACUCAGCGAAGUUGAAAUGUUUGUGAUGAUGCAAUCUCCCCGCGGAAAGACGGAAAGACCCCAUGAACCUUUACUGUAGCUUUGUAUUGGACUUUGAACAGAUCUGUGUAGGAUAGGUGGGAGGCUUUGAAGUGUGGUCGCUAGAUCGCAUGGAGCCAACGUUGAAAUACCACCCUGGUGUGUUUGAGGUUCUAACCUAGGUCCAUUAUCUGGAUCGGGGACAGUGCAUGGUAGGCAGUUUGACUGGGGCGGUCUCCUCCCAAAGUGUAACGGAGGAGUUCGAAGGUACGCUAGGUACGGUCGGACAUCGUGCUAAUAGUGCAAUGGCAUAAGCGUGCUUAACUGCGAGACUGACAAGUCGAGCAGAUGCGAAAGCAGGACAUAGUGAUCCGGUGGUUCUGUAUGGAAGGGCCAUCGCUCAACGGAUAAAAGGUACUCUGGGGAUAACAGGCUGAUACCGCCCAAGAGUUCAUAUCGACGGCGGUGUUUGGCACCUCGAUGUCGGCUCAUCUCAUCCUGGGGCUGUAGCCGGUCCCAAGGGUAUGGCUGUUCGCCAUUUAAAGAGGUACGUGAGCUGGGUUUAAAACGUCGUGAGACAUUUUGGUCCCUAUCUUCCGUGGGCGCUGCAGAUUUGAGGAAGCCUGCUCCUAGUACGAGAGGACCGGAGUGGACGAACCUCUGGUGUAUCGGUUGUCACGCCAGUGGCAUUGCCGAGUAGCUAAGUUCGGAAGAGAUAACCGCUGAAAGCAUCUAAGCGGGAAACUCGUUUCAAGAUUAGAUCUGCCGGGGCCUUGAGCCCCCUAAAGAGUCGUUCAAGACCAGGACGUUGAUAGGUCAGGUGUGGAAGC